GGUCAUGAGUUGAUGAGAAUUUACCUCGUUGAAGAGAGAUGACAUAAAAUUCAUGCUCAAUGGGAUUAUGCUGAGGGCC
ensembl:snoRNA SNORD115 Small nucleolar RNA SNORD115